UCCGACUUCCGGCACCCGGUGAGUCGAGCUCCGGAAGUAGUUGAGAGAGCGGAGGCGCCAGAGUCUGAGAGUCGGCUGCGGUGGUUUCGGGUUUAUCUUCACCAUGGGGAAGCGACAGCACCAGAAAGACAAGAUGUACAUCACUUGUGCUGAGUACACUCACUUCUAUGGUGGCAGGAAGCCAGAAACAACACAGACAGCUUUUCGCCGCUUACCUUUUGAUCACUGCAGUCUCUCUCUGCAGCCUUUUGUCUACCCAGUCUGCACCCCGGAAGGUAUCGUUUUUGACUUGCUGAACAUUGUUCCAUGGCUUAAGAAGUAUGGGACCAAUCCCAGCAAUGGAGAGAAACUUGAUGGGAAGUCCCUGAUCAAGCUGAACUUUGCAAAGAACAGUGAAGGGCAGUAUCACUGUCCAGUGCUGUAUUCCGUGUUCACUGACAACACCCACAUUGUGGCCAUCAGGACAACUGGCAAUGUCUACACCUAUGAGGCAGUGGAGCAGCUAAACAUCAAGGCCAAGAACCUGAGGGACCUGCUAACUGAUGAGCCCUUUUCCAGGCAAGACAUCAUUACCCUACAGGACCCUACCAAUUUGGACAAAUUCAAUGUUUCCAAUUUCUUUCAUGUGAAGAAUAAUAUGAAAAUAAUUGAUCCAGAUGAAGAAAAGGCCAGACAAGACCCAUCUUAUUAUUUGAAAAAUACAAAUGCUGAAACCAGAGAGACAUUACAGGAGCUCUACAAAGAGUUCAAAGGAGAUGAGAUUUUAGCAGCCACCAUGAAGGCCCCUGAGAAGAAGAAGGUGGACCAACUGAAUGCUGCCCACUACUCCACAGGGAAGGUCAGCGCAUCCUUCACCUCUACUGCCAUGGUACCUGAGACCACACAUGAAGCAGCUGUCAUUGAUGAAGAUGUACUACGCUACCAGUUUGUGAAGAAGAAGGGCUAUGUGAGGCUACACACCAACAAGGGUGACCUUAACCUAGAGCUGCACUGUGACCUGACACCAAAAACCUGUGAAAACUUCAUCAGGCUCUGCAAGAAACAGUAUUACGACGGUACCAUCUUUCACAGGUCCAUCAGGAACUUUGUGAUCCAGGGUGGUGACCCCACAGGUACAGGCACAGGUGGCGAGUCAUACUGGGGCAAGCCCUUCAAGGAUGAGUUCCGUCCCAACCUUUCGCACACUGGUCGCGGGGUGCUCAGCAUGGCCAAUUCGGGGCCCAACACCAACAAGUCUCAGUUCUUUAUCACGUUCCGCUCCUGUGCUUAUCUGGAUAAGAAGCAUACCAUCUUCGGACGGGUGGUUGGAGGUUUUGACACAUUGACAGCUAUGGAGAAUGUGGAGAGUGACCCCAAAACUGACCGUCCCAAGGAGGAAGUGCGUAUAUGUGCGACCACAGUGUUUGUGGACCCGUAUGAGGAGGCUGAUGCCCAGAUUGCCCAGGAACGGAAGAAGGCACAGCACCAAGUAGAUCCAGAAGCCAAGGUCAAGAUGAGCCAGCCCCAGCCUAGGAACCAGGGCCCCCAGACAUACCGCCAGGGGGUGGGCAAGUACAUCAACCCAGCAGCCACGAAACGAGCAGCAGAGGAAGAACCGUCAACCAGCACAGCUAUCCCCAUGGCCAAGAAAAAGCCCAGCCGGGGCUUUGGGGAUUUCAGCUCCUGGUAGCAGCAGGCUGGCCUCAUGGAUCCUGGCCACACUUAAAGCAUCGGGACCCCAGAAGCCCUAGGUCCUCAAGGGGCUCAGAAACCCUGACACAUCCUUUGUUCCCAGUGGAUGCUCCAAGAAGCUGUGGGCCAUCUUCCAUGGUACCGUCCCUGAGACAGCGAGCACUACAGAAACCUUGCUGUUUGACAACAGAAGCUUUAUUUUUAUAUCUCACACAGACGUGCCACCAAGGCUGACGGCUCUGGCCUAGGGGACAGGGAGGCCGAGGGUGCUUUGUAUGCUUGAGCUUGGUGGUCCUGCUAUUCGUGGUGAACUCCCAGUAGCUUCCAAGUCACUGUCCAGUCAGCCUUGCUCAGCAGCCUACACUUGUCCUCUUCACUCUUGUCCUCCAGCACAGAGGACAGGCCACCAGGGCUUAUUUCCAUAGGUUAUCUAGAGCUGAAAUGGUAGCUUUUUAGACAGUAAAACUGGGUUUUGAAAAGUACCUGAUGAGCUCAUCAGAAAAUAAAGGACUUUUUGGAGGGGGGGGAAUCUCAUUUCUGAUCUUUUCAAAUAUCUGACAGAUGCCAUCAAGAAUAAGCAUUAAGGUAUAAAAAUACUGUGUAUAUACUAACAAGAUGGCAACAAAAUAAACCACAUUUCUAAAGUAAAGUGGCAUUUAUGACCUGGUAUAACUUCCCACUGUUCUGAAGAAAACAUUUCUAAGAUAGCUACAGAAUGACACUGUUUAGAAACAUAAGGUGAGCCAGUUUGACAGGUCACCAGAACACUGGUUGUAGUGUUGCGUCACUUUCCCCUGAAGCCAGCUCAUGGUCAUUUCUUUUGGUUUAAAAAGUUUCUAUUUCACAGAAGGCCAACACAAAAUCCAAAAAAACUUCAUAAAAGUUUUGUUGGUAUCCAUUACCCCCAAUACAAAAUAAGUCAUAAAGAGUACUAGCAAAAAGUUUCCAAUCAGUGCUAUCACAAAAGACAAUGCAAAGUGCUCAAGUAGAAGGGCAGGAAGCCCAGAACGUAAAAAAACAAAAACAAAAACAAAAACCUGUAAAUAUAAUCUUAGUAUAUACAAAAAAACUGGUCAGAAGAAUUCUCAAAGAUUGUUCAAUUUAAGUGAAGCAUCUAUAGGGACCUACUCAGGAUACCCUUGAGUUUCCUUCCGCUGGUUGAUAUCCGGUCUCCCGUGCCUCAGCCACAAAGUUCCCACUUGCAAGUGUAUUAAAAACUAGCCAGGGUGUUAUGUCCACUUGGAGCUGUAGACUAGUGUGCAUUCCUAGAGAAGGAUGGCCUUUGGGCCCCUAGGCUUCAUGCACACCCACUACCUGUGCUGAGUAAGCAGUUACCUUACUGGGUAGAAUUACCUUGUUCUGGGCCAGCUUUAUUUUGAAGGGAACCGAGUAGUAGUUGGGGGAGAAAGCAGCUUGGGCUAGGAUUAGGCAGAGAGAUUCACAGACCAUGCAAACAUGUCUUCAGUUGCCCAGGCAUUUCUUAUAUUACCAGGCUUCCAGUCUUGGGCAAAGAAAUGGCACCAAAAUGUAGGCUUUGGAGUGAGUAGUGAGCUGGAGUAGACAAAUGAAGCGCCUGUGCUGGCCAGAGGACAGGGUUUAGAAGGUUUGGGGCUUUUAGGCUAACCACACCUCAGGCAGCGCUAGAGCAAACUGUGGCUGAGCACUCUCCUGGCAUGUUGCUUUGCCCUGGGUCAGGUGCAAAAAAAUUGAAACUUAUCUGGGAAUGGUUCUGGCCUCCAUCUUCUGCAAACUGGUCACUCCUAUGGAUGUAUGGGGAAUGAUGGGUUGUGACCUAAAAUCUGAGAGAUCCAGGGCUUUCGGGAUGCCCAGACCCUUCCCUCUCAGGUCAUGAGGUGACUCCAGGCAGGAAAGGUAGCUCCCACAGUAUGCUAAGUCUUCCUUUAUCAAGAGAAAAGAAAAAAAAAAUCUCAAGUUUUGAAGUUCUCCCUGCUGGUUCCGGCCUCUAUGCAUAACUACUUCAAGUACAUCCAGGGUAAAAAUGAAGCCCAGCCUGCUGCUCUAUGACAGGGACCAGCCCUCCAUACGAGCUGCUGCAGCACUGAGGGAGUCUGGAGCAGGCUGCGGUAGGCCUGGGGCAGCACAUUCAGCCACUAGUGAAAUAAGAUGUGCAUUGAAUGCUUUCUUCUGUAGCUUCUCUAACAUAUCAGCAGUGGCUGGUUUCAACUUUUGAAGCAUCAUGCUUUGCAUUUAAAUCUGUUGGCUACUUCUGGUCACUAUGCCAAUGCUUGUGAAGGAGACCCUGCUUCUGUGCUUUUAGGGACUUGGCUUUGGUGAAGACACAGCCAGACUACGUCGAAGGCGUAGGGGAAAAGAAGGUAUUAACUAGGCAGAGCAGCAGCAGCAGCAGCAGCUCUGACAGCAGCCAUCUCUGAAGGCGCGACAUGGUGCUCUGUGUCAGCUGAACUGGGCUUUUGAUUAGAAGCCAUGCAAUGAGAAAACAACCACAAGAUCUAACAAUCAGGAACCACUGUGAAGGGGCUGGGAAGCCACUGAUAGUCUGCUGGGUGAACUGUGCCUGUGGGGCAGACACUGGAGUCCCUGGGGUGUGGAGGGUAUCCAUCUCCACAGCAGGUAAUGGUUUUUGUUUUUUCCCUUCUUAGCAAACCAGUAUACUGGGUUCCAGAAGUUUCUCACCUAAAAUAAGCACAUGCAGUUAUUUUAAGAGUCUGUGGAUCAGCUCAUGUCCAUAUGGUGCAACCACCACACUGUGGAAGACGAUGAAGGACAGAAUGAAGCCCAGGGCCCUUGAUGCUAUGAGGGGUGGAGCCAGGGUACCGUCCAGCCAGCCACAACCCUCCUUUUCUCUCUUUGUCGGGGUCUCUCCUUGGAGCUGUGGCUGGCCUGGAACUUCCUGUGUAGGCAGGCUGACCUAGAAUUCACAGGGCUCUGCCCGCUCUACCUCCCAAGUGCUGGGACCACCUGGCCAUCCCUUUAACCGCACCCAGCCUUCUCCACAGCCCUACCACUGGCUCCAAUACUGCCCAAACAAGCGAGUGAACUUGGACCAGUCUAUGAUUUUAUUUGCUACCUGGAAGGCUGACUGAGCCCAGUAACUCGAAGCCAGCAGGGGUGACAGUACAGCCUCUUGCAGGGUAGGGAGGUUGCAUCCAGAACAUUUCCUGGCUGUGCGUCCCUGCCCUGGAGUAGUGCAUCCCAGCGGUUCACAUUUGCAAAGCAAUUGGAUGAAAGCACUCACGAUAUUCCCGUGGAAUAACUGAAAAUUAGAAAGCACCUUGCAGAGUCUGCAAAUGCCCUUGUGUUCAGAGAUACUGCCAAGAUGGGGCCCGGGGCUGCAGUGAACACAGCUAGCUUCCUUCUCAAGGCCUGAUUUUCUUGGGCCUUUGUGCGCACCACCCAUGUGGCCACAGGACAACUGAUGAGUUGGCUCUUUCCACUCUGGGUCCCAGACCCAAACUUAGGUCGUUAGGAUUGGCAGCAGGUGUUUUCACCACUUGGCCAUCCUGCUGGCCCUACACCUUUCCAUUUUGAUGCCAAGUACACAAACUGACUAUUUAGAUGCACAGCACCUAUGCUCACGGGCAUGGAAAGAUCUGGAAGGAUUCAAACAGUGUAGCUAGAGCUGGCUUUUGGGGGCAUCUGCUUCUUUCCUCAUAUCCACUGUUUCCCUACUUGCAUCCCGGGGCAAGAAGCAUUCUCCCACACUGCGGACACCUGUAGAGGGGCCCCAAGACAAAGUGCCCUGUGCCGGCUGUGGAUUCACAGGACCCACGGGAUGUGGCACACCUCUUCCCUCUGCCCCUCAUCUUCCAUCUCAGCCCGCCACGCUCAAGAACGACAAGGACUACUGAUAACGUGUGCACAGCUGGAGAUGCUGCAGUUUUGGCCCCAAGACACGUGCCACCAGAAAGCUGCCCGGUUUCUUCGGCUAGCACGGUGGCUGUGAAGACGGCUGGAGAGGAGAGAACACAGCUGGCAAUUUGUUUUGUUUUGUUUUUUACAGGUUCAGCUUUUUAUUGGACAUGCUGUGCCUGCAUGUGUGCUUGAGAACCAGAAGAGGGCACCAGAUCUCAUUAUAGAUGGUUGUGAGCCACCAUGUGGUUGCUGGGAAUCGAACUCAGAACCUUUGGAAGAACAGCCAGUGUUCUUAACCUUUGAGCCAUCUCUCCAGCCCCACAGCUGGCAAUUUUUAAGUUUUCCUUUUAAUUGUGUGCGUGUGUGUGUGUGUGUGUGUGUGUGUGUGUUGGUAUGUGCGUCAAGGACAAGAGCUGUGUGUCAGGGUGUCAGAUCCCCUGGACUGCAGUUACAGUUGGUGGUAAGCUACCUCAUGUGGGUGCUAGGAGUCAAACUUGGGCCCUCGCUAAGACCAGUACGUACUCUUAAUCACUAAGCCCUUUGUUUUGUUGUUUUUAGACAGGGUCUUGUGUGGCCUAAUACUCCAUAUAGAGCUAAGGAUGACCCUGAAUUCCUCCUCCUCCUGUUACCAUGCCUGGCUAAUGUUUCCUGGACUGCUGCCUAUCUGAGACCUCUGCUGGCUGUCAUAUCCUGGAGCUCAGCAUGCAAUGUGGACAUCGAGGAUGAGCAUUUGUGCAGGAAACAAUAGGGAGGAAAAGGAAGGUUUUAAAACAUCUUAAGACCGGGGUUUUGCGUUGUCUUCCAAAACCGAGUAAGCCAAAUUACAACACAUCGGAAGAGCAGAAUAAAGAGUCGAGGCGUCCUCCGCGCUCCCGCCCCGCCCGCCCGCGCCCAACAGGUCAGCACGUGAGACUCCAGAUCCGCGUGGAUUUGAACUGUGGGACCCCCACACACACCCCAGAACUCCUGCCUGCCGGCACUCAUUCUCCAGGUCCACAUCUGCGCCCUUUCCAACACGUCUGUUUUUUUUUUUUUUUUCGGUCUCUAGAUCGAUUUUUAAAUAAAAGGCCGCUGCUAA